rnacentral:lncRNA from 1 species
UUAUCUUGUAAGAGUGACUAUUUGCAGCAUUAUCACUCCAUGCUCAUUUCAUUUGUUUACAGGCAUGUCUCAUUUUUCUGUGAAAAGUCAGCUGAUACAAAGGAAGAACUGAGACCUCAGUUGGUAUCUCAGAUUCUCAUUCCCCAAGUGUCCUGUUCAACUUCCAGAGCCUCCAGGGUCAUCCUCAUUAUCUGAUGUUUUAGUCAACAUUUUGUUACUGUGAUCAAAACACAUAAAAAGAACAACACAGAAGAGGAAAAUUUUUAUUUCAACUCAUGGUUUCAGAGGUUCAGUCCAUGGUUGGCCAACUCCAUUGUUCUGAGCCUGAGGUGAGGCAGAACUUCAUGGUGGAGGGCAUGGCUACUCAGGUCAUGGUAGCCCAGAAGCAAGGACAGUAAUUAAGGAGCCAACGACAAAAUAUAAUCCCCAAAGGCACGCUCCCCAGUGACCUACUUACUUUAGCCACACCCUACCUCCCUACAGUUACUACCCAGUAGUCCAUUCAAAUUAUCAAUUCUUUAUGGAUUAAUGCACAAAUUAGGUUAACAGCUCAGAUAGUCUAAUCAGUUCACCUGUGAGCAUUCUUGCAUGGUCUAACACAUAGCUUUUGGGGGGACUUCUCAUAUCCAACCAAGUGGAUCCUGGACUCUUGGGAUGCAUUUCUUAACAGAUUAUGGGUUACAAGAAUUGACCCUGAAAUUUAAACCUUUACUCUAUGUGAAGAGCAGGCUGUGCCCUCCUGAGUUACUCCAUGAUGUGUAGAACAGCAGUUUUCAAGUUGUGCCUAAACCUACGUGAGUUCAUUUUGAGAAUAAGGUAGAAUGACUGCACACCUUACUUAUACAGGUAAACCAUCACCAUCUGCCCUACACAACCAUAAGGCACAAAUUGAUAACUUGUACAUGCCAACUUAUCAAAAUAAAUCAAGGAGUACCUGGACAUGUGCAUCUUCCAAAUCCUACCAGGAACAUCAGAACUUAUCAACCACACCAGAUGCAACCCCCUCAAAGGAGGAGCCCCCCCCAAGACUGGACACAAUUCCACUCUGACCACAUCACCUAGUCAUUCUCAUCAUGAGCCUUGUCCAGGAUAUUCCUCCAAUAUCCUGUUCCUGUAAGGCUUCAACAGUAUGGUUUUUCCUGCCAGUGAUGAUAGUGCUCAGCCCACUCCAAGCUGACAUCUCAAACUGAAACUCCGUGCUAACACCUGGCGCUGAAACUCUGAAUCUGAAACUGUCUUCUGACCAAACCCUCUGCUUUGACCACUCUGUGGAACUGGUUAGUUAAAAUCCUUAUCAGGCUGGGCUUGGUGGCACACAUCUGUAAUCCCAAUAGCUUGAGAGGCUGAGGCAGGAGGAUCGCAAGUUCAAAGCAGCUUCAGCAAUUUAGCAAGGCCCUAAGCAAUUCAGCGAGACCCU